rnacentral:tRNA from 2 species
GCGCUCGUAGCUCAGUUGGAUAGAGUGUCAGUUUCCGAAACUGAAGGUCAGAGGUUCGAUCCCUCUCGGGCGCGCCA